rnacentral:rRNA from 1 species
UACGUAGGGUGCGAGCGUUGUCCGGAAUUAUUGGGCGUAAAGGGCUCGUAGGCGGUCUGUCGCGUCGGGAGUGAAAACUCAGGGCUUAACCCUGAGCCUGCUUCCGAUACGGGCAGACUAGAGGUAUGCAGGGGGAGAACGGAAUUCCUGGUGUAGCGGUGGAAUGCGCAGAUAUCAGGAGGAACACCGGUGGCGAAGGCGGCUCUCGUCGGGACGGUACUGACGGCUGAGACGACGAAAGCGUGGGGGAGCGAAACAGG